rnacentral:rRNA from 1 species
AUUGAACGCUGGCGGCAUGCCUUACACAUGCAAGUCGAACGGCAGCGCGGGGGCAACCCUGGCGGCGAGUGGCGAACGGGUGAGUAAUAUAUCGGAACGUACCCAAGAGUGGGGAUAACGUAGCGAAAGUUACGCUAAUACCGCAUACGAUCUAAGGAUGAAAGCAGGGGACCGCAAGGCCUUGUGCUCCUGGAGCGGCCGAUAUCUGAUUAGCUAGUUGGUGGGGUAAAGGCCUACCAAGGCAUCGAUCAGUAGCUGGUCUGAGAGGACGACCAAGCCACACUGGGACUGAGACACGGCCCAGACUCCUACGGGAGGCAGCAGUGGGGAAUUUUGGACAAUGGGGGCAACCCUGAUCCAGCAAUGCCGCGUGAGUGAAGAAGGCCU